rnacentral:rRNA from 1 species
GAUGAACGCUGGCGGCAGGCCUAACACAUGCAAGUCGAACGAAGUCUUCGGACUUAGUGGCGGACGGGUGAGUAACACGUGGGAACGUGCCUUUAGGUUCGGAAUAACUCAGGGAAACUUGUGCUAAUACCGAAUGUGCCCUUCGGGGGAAAGAUUUAUCGCCUUUAGAGCGGCCCGCGUCUGAUUAGCUAGUUGGUGAGGUAAAGGCUCACCAAGGCGACGAUCAGUAGCUGGUCUGAGAGGAUGAUCAGCCACAUUGGGACUGAGACACGGCCCAAACUCCUACGGGAGGCAGCAGUGGGGAAUCUUGCGCAAUGGGCGAAAGCCUGACGCAGCCAUGCCGCGUGAAUGAUGAAGGUCUUAGGAUUGUAAAAUUCUUUCACUGGGGACGAUAAUGACGGUACCCGGAGAAGAAGCCCCGGCUAACUUCGUGCCAGCCGCCGCGGUAAAAC